CCUUUGUUUAAAAAGCUCCGACAUAACCUCUUUGAACUUAGCAAUGCUCAUUCAUGACCUCAGGUGAAAAACCCUCAAGAAUCCUAAUCUUUAUUUUUAAAUUUCUUAUUGUAACCUAUAGCAUUUUUUUCUCUUGCUCUAUACUGCUGCCACAGAACAACAGAUUUCAUUUCAAAUGUCAGUGAUAAUAAACCUGAUUCUGACUAAAGAUGAUCCUUUCAUUAAGAGCCAAGAUUUUGGACUUGGGAUUAACCUGUUAUCAAUUAUUUUUUCCAGCAUGGUUAUAAUGGGCUGAAUGGUAUUAUUCUGUGCCACAAAUAAUCUCUACACACUCUAGAGAAAUCACAUCCUUCCAGACAGAACUGUAUGCCAUGCUAACAUGGUGGUCUUUCUGAGGUAUUAUUUGGUCUAGCGUGACACACCCUGUUCUUGUAUUUAAUGUUUUAGCCAGUAAAGGUAAGUAUAUUAUCUGCUGCCUUUGCCACCUUAUCUAUCUUUUAUCUUUCCCAAAUCAAAUACAGAGAAGCAAUAAUAAAAUAAAAGCAGAACUCUUCCUGCUGGGAAAAACACAGCAAGUUAGGCACAACAUUGGAAAGCUUGGACUCACGAACCCAUGACACCCAAUUACACCCAUGUGACCAAUGAACCUACUAACCCAUACGUCUUUGGAAUGUGGGAGGAAACCCAUGCAUUCACAGGGAGAAUGUGCCAUCUCCUUACAGAGAGUCGCCAAAUUGAACCUGGAUUACUGGUGCUGUAAUAGUGUUGCACUAACUGCUAUACCACCAUGCUUUCCCUUUGUACUAACAUUUUGGGUUUGCAGAUCUAUUAUCAAAAAUUCAAAGUACGUAUAUGUCACCAUAUACAAACCUGAGGUUCAUUUUCUUGCAAACUUACACAGUAGAUCCAAGCAACACAGUAAAGUCAAUGAAAGAAUACACCCAACAGGACAGACAACAACCAAAGUGCAAAACACAACAAACUGUGCAAAUAGAAAAAGAAAAAGAUAAUAAUAAAUAAAUAAGCAAUAAAUAUAAAGUACAUGAGAGGAAGAGUCCAUGAAAGUGAGUCCAUAGGCUAUGGGAAUAGUUCAGUGAUGGGACGAGUGAAGUUAUCUCCUCUGGUUCAAGAGCCUGAUGAUUGAGGGGUAAUGACUGUUUGUGAACCUGGUGGUGUGGGUUCCAAGGCUCCUGUACCUUUUUCCUGGUGGCAGCAGUGAGAAGGGACCAUGGCCUGGGUGGGUGGUGGGGUUUCUUGAUGAUAGACGCUGUGCUCCUAUGACAGUGCUCCAUGUAGAUGUGCUCAGUGGUGGAGAGGGUUUUAUCUGUGAUGGAGUGGUCUAUAACCAAGAACCUUUCUAGGAUUUUUCAGGAGGUCAGUGAUGGUGCUACAGAGUCUCUGUUGGUGAUGUUGUUUCCCAUCCAUGGUUCACUGUUGUUAUUGAUUGUCUGUGAGAGAUUGCUGAUUCAUCAGCUGGGGUUGGUGGGUGCUCAUCAGCAGAUUUCCUAUCUGCGUUUAACCUGUCUGUGAAUGUUUCCUAAUCUAUUGAGUGCAUCUGAGAUUUUGUGGAUUUCAGAGUGCCACCAACUUGAAAAAUUCUGCAGAUGCUGGGGAUCCAAAGAAACACACACAAAGUGCUGAAGGAACUCAGCAGGCCAGGCAAUGUCUAUGGAAAGGAGUACAGUUGACGUUUCAGGAUGAGACCCUUCUUCAGAACUGGAAAGGGAGGGGUGAAGUCAGAAUAAGAAGGUGUGGGGAGGGGAGGAAGAAGUACAAGGUGGCAGAUAAUAGAUGGAACUGGGAGAGGGAGUGAAAUAAAGAGCUGAUUGGUUUGUUAAAGGGCUGGAGAAGGGGCAGUCUGAGAGGAGUGGACAGAGGACCGUGGAAGAAAGGGAAGGAGGAGGAGAUGAGCAGGUGAGGAGAUAAGGUGAGAGAGAGAAACUGAAAUGGGAAAUGAAGGAGGGGUGGUUGGAGCAAUUACCAGAAGUUCAGGAAAUCUGAUUAAUCUCUGUUGCAGUUUUAACCCUCAAUGUCAAGUUCCAUCAAUCUAUUGAAAUUAGUCUUUCUCCAAUUAAUGACUUUUACUUUGCAUUGCUCCUUUUCUAAAGAUAACUUUAAUCUCAUGAUGUUUUCUUCACUGUCUCCUAGGUGUUCCCCAACUAAAAGCAGCAGAUUUGGGCAAGGCCGAACAUUUUCAGCUGCGCGGGCAUGGGUUCUUUUGAAGACCCUGUCCUGGAGUUACACGCUGACUACAGUUCUUUGCGGGAAUGGGAUCCGCUGUCAGGGUUUCAUAAGCAGCCGUCGUUGUUCGGCACACUGAGGGCUCGGCCUAAGAGUCUGGCUCAAAUUUGGAAGCCUAGGAUCUUGGGGCUCUGGAGAUGGGCGGAUUGAGGGUCGGUGUCAUGACAGGACACCCAUGUGUCGUUGGGGGUUUCGGAAUAUCUGCGGUUGAGUGCCUAGUUUUUAGGGUACAGAGCUAAAAAAAAGCGACGUGGUGGACGUAAACCAUCGUAAACCAGCGAGUUGUUAUGUCUCCCUGCUCGCUGGGAAAAUGGAGACAUCUCUUUCUCCUUUAUUAAGGAGAGAGAGAACCUGUGGUAUGUUGAGUACGAGGUGAAACGCAAAGCCUUUGGGAUAACUGCAAGUCAGUGCCUUUGCUGUUGCCUUGUUCACGCUUGAGUGCUCAGUGGUGGGUGCCAUGCUUUUUCUUGCCGGUGGGGGUUGUUUGCUGCUGCUUACACAUGGGAGAGGGGAGUUGGGGGUUACUUUGGGGUUCUAACAUUUGACUGUCAUUCAUUCUUUAGGACACUCCUCUGUUUUCAUGAUGGUUUGCGAAGAAAAAGCAUUUCAGGAUGUAUAUUGUAUACAUUCCUCUGACAUUAAAUGUACCUUUGAAACCAUUGAAACUCAUCGAAACCUAUCUACCUACUGAUAGAAUUGGUGUGGAGAGGAUGUUUCCUACAGUGGGACAGUCUAGGACCAGAGGACACAGCCUCAGAAUAGAGGGGUGUCCUGUUAGAUUAGAGAUGAGAAAUUACUUCAGCCAGAGAAUGGUCAAUCUGUGGAAAUCAUUGCUACGGGCAGCUGUGGAGGCCAAGACUUUAUGUAUAUUUAAGGCAAAUGUUGAUAGAUUCUAGACUGGUCAGGGCAGGAAGGGAAAUGGGGAGAAGGCAGGAGAUUGGGGCUGAGAGGAAGAAUGGAUCUGCUAUGAUGGAGCGGUAGAGCAGACUCGAUGAGUCAAAUGGCCUAAUUCUGCUUCUAUAUCUUAUGAUCUCAUAACUAGGGAGAGGGCAGGACCACUCAGGAUAAAGAGGGGAACAUUUGUUUGGAUCCUGAGAAUGUGAGCAAAGUAAUCAGAGUACUUUGCUUCAGUACUUACCAAGGAAAAGGGUAUGGAGAACCAGAGCUGAGUGCAUAAAUACAUUAGGGCAUUUAGAGCUCAAGGAGGAGGAACUGUUGGGCCUCCUAAUGAGUAUAAAGUUGGAUAAGUCCCAAGGACCCAAUAGGAUUUACCCCAAUUUAUUGAAGGAGGCAGGAGACGAGAUUGCUGGCGCCUCAUGUCCUCUGUAGUGCGGGUAAGGUCCUGCAGGACUGACGAGUGGCUAAGACUGUACCUCUAUGUAAGAAGGGAAAAUCCUGUGAACUAUAGACCAGUGAGUCUCACGUCAGUUGCAGGACAUUUGCUUAAGAAUAUUCUUAGAGAUAGAAUAUAUGAGCAUUUGGAAACCCAUGGCCUAAUUAUGGAGAGUCAGCAUGCCUUUGUGAGGGGCAGGUCAUAUCUUACUAACUUCAUUGAGUUUUUUCUUAAGGUGACAAGAGAGAUUGAUGAAGGCAGGGCAAUGGACGUUGUCUACAUUACUUAGUUAGGCAUUUGACAAAGUGCCUCAUGGGUGACUAAUCCAGAAGAUGAAGAUGCAGUGAAUUAGCUCUUUAGAUUCAGAACUGGUUUGCAUGUAGAAGAUGGGAGAAGUUGAGGGGACUUAUUUGAGCUGGAGGUCUGUGAUUAGUGGAGUUCUACAUGGAUUCGACUAAUGUAGAUGGAUGCGUUAGUAAGUAAGCAGAUAAUACCAAGAUUGGUGGAGUUGUGGAUGGUGUAGAAUCCGGGCAUAGAAUAGAGCAUGACAGAUUUGUUGCAGAUAUGGGCAAAGAAAUGGCAGAUAGAGUUUAACCCAGAUAAAUGUGAGGUGAUCCACCUUGGUAGGGCAAAUGGAAGGAGACAGUACACAGUUAUGGUCAAGAUUCUUAACAGAGUUACUGAUCAGAGAGAUCCGUAGAUCCAAGUUCAACGCUCCUUAAGGUCGAUAAGGUGGUUAAGAAGGCUGAUGGAAUUAUUUUAUUAGUCGAGGCAUUUUAUUAGUGCUUAGGCCACAUCGGGAGUAUUGCAGACAGUUCUGGUUACAGCACUAUAGGAAGGACAUUGAGGUUUUGGAGGGGGUACAGAAGAGGUUUACCAGGAGGCUGUCUGGUUUAAAGGGCAUGUGCUAUUAUGAGAGGCUGGAUAAAUUUGUGUCAUUUUCUCUGGAGCUCAGGCUUAAUUAAGGGAGAUCUCAUAGAAGUCUAUAAGAUUAUGAGAGGCAAAGAUAGUGUAGACCGGGACUAUCUAUUUCCCAGGGCUGAAAUGUCUAAUACCAGAUGGCAUUGAAUGUGAGAGGGCAUAGGUUCAAAGAAGAUGUGAGGGGUAAGUUUUUUACUCACAGAGUGGUGGAUGUCUGGAAUGUGCUGCCUGGUGUGGUGGAAGAGACGAAUAUAUUACAGGCUUUUAAAAGACAUUUGGAUGCGCAUAUGAACGUAAGGAAGAUGGAGGGACAUGAACAUUGUGUAGGUAAGAGGAAUUAGUGUUUGGGUAUUUCUGAAUUGCUUUUUAGUUGGUUCAGCACAAUGCUGUGGGCCGAAUGGCCUGCUCCUAUGCUGUGCAGUUCUAUAUAAAACUUACUUCCCCGUAUUCUUCGAUCCAGCAAUUCCUCCUGCCUCACCGAACUAGAAAUGUAUUGCUCCAGAAAAUUAUCCUGUACACUCUGUGCUUAGUGAUAUUAAUCUUCUAGUUUAUAACACAGGCUUUUAUUUCUCCAAAGCAACCACUACAUAGUUUUCACAAAUAUCUGUAAUCUCUUUGAAUGCUGUUCCUUCUGUCCUACUCAUCCAUCCAUAGAAAUACAUGGCAUAAGUAGGCCUUUUGGCCCAUUGAGCUUGUGCUAUCCAUCAACCAAUCAUAUCAACUAAUUCUACUCUUGUUUUUUAUUCUCAGCACUCCAUCAUCAAUUCCCUCAGAUUUCUACCAUUCAGCUACACGUUAGGGUUAAUAUAACUUAACAACCUGCACACCUUGGGAUGUAGGAGGAAGCCGGUGGGCGGUGGGGGAACCAGAGACCUUGGUGCCUCACCUACUCUUGGGGUUCUUGCAGGUAGAGUGAUAAAAGACCAGUAGCCCAUUCCUAGAAUGAGAGGCUUGUUGAGAAGGAAGGGGGAAAGUUGGGCCUCCGGAGCUUAGAAAUACAGAUCGAAAGGUCUUUGGAAAGAUAAUGCUGGGAAGAGUUCAAUCAAUGGUGGAGUCUCUACCACAAAACCAAAAUGAAGAGUUUCUUCCCUCCUUCCUCUAAAGUUGUGAAUCUUGAGUUUUCUCUAUGCCAAUGAGCUUCAAAGACAGAGUCAUUCAGAACUCAGCUGUUUUCUUAGAUUACAGGGCAUUAAGAUAUAGCAAGUAAAUCAAGGAGAGUCUGAGAUUGUCAGUUGACAUCUUACUGUUCAAUCUCACAGGUCUGCCUCUCCAUCUCCUCUUGUUUUCUGAUCAAUAUUACCUCAAAAUAUCCUGCAGCCGCUGCACUCGAGGAGCUGAAAUAUGAUCUCACCACUUCUCAUGAGGAAGUGGCUUGAAUCUACUGAACAAGUAGUUCAUUGCCAUGGUAAAGCAGAACUGGAAGUUCACCGUGUGUUUCUAAAUACAAGUAUAGAACUAUAAGGAGAAAUAUACAAUUUCCAUCAGACCAGAUUGACUUGCUUCUGUACCUUCUGUACUUACACAAUUAAAGGCUUGAUAUGCUGUAACAGGUAGCUAGCCUCCUGACUCACCAAAAUAUCUCUGCACAGCCCAAGUCAGGAGUUUGAUGGAAUUCUUGCCUCUUUAAUCCCAACAAUAUUCAGCCUAUUUGUAGAUUGCUGGGAUUGUGCGUUAACAAGGAGUGAAGCUAAAGAUCAGCAGAUUCAGAUUCUGAGGGAUAUGGGUGGGUGGCUAAAUUGUUGAGAUGGAAAUCAUGAAAGUAUUGAAUGCUGAGGUAAACAUGGACCCAAUAUUUCCUCCUUCAGUUAUAGUCUUAUAAAAGGAACUAAAAAUGGAUCUAAUUGUUGGAUAUUCCUGGGAAGAAAGUGGGGAAAAAAGGAACGAUGGUGGAAUUUGUGAAUGAGAAGUGAUAGGUAUUAUGACUUAAUGGUUUCAUUCAGUUCCACAAUAUUGGGGCAGCACAGUAGCAUAGCAGUCAUCAUAAUACUUUACAGUGCCAGCUGUAAGUUCAAGAUUUGCUAUCUGUAAGGAGCUUCGUGCAUUCUCUCCACCGCACCACGGGUUUCCUUCAGUUUCCAUUUCAAGUUAAGAUUAGUAAAUUAUGAGCAUGCUAUGUUGGCACUGGAGAUAUGGCAACACUUGCAGCCUGCCUCCAGUCCAGUCUGAACACAAACAAUGCAUUUCACUGUAUUUCCAUUAAAGUGUGACGUUCACACCAUCAGGCUGGAGGUUAUCCAAACAGAUUGGGGUGUCGCUGCUGCGUCAUAGGAGGAGACCCUGGCCUGAUACAUUGGAAUGGGAAGUCAAAUUGAACAAACUCAAUGAGUGAGCCUCCACAACUCCAAACUCAAGAAUUCCAAAAGUUCACCACACAGUAGUUUUUUUUUUCCUAACUUUCUAAAUCCCCACAGUAGGAUCACCAGUGCAAGUGAAAUUUUUAUAGUUGGAUUUCUCCAUUAUUGCAGUUAUACAUUAUAAAGAUCAAUGUUGCCCUGAUAAAAUCUGUAGCCUAUCUAAUACAAAUCCCUCCACAAUCCAGAACUUUUGUAUGAACAGCGGGAUAUCAUAUCCUGUGAUGCAUGUGACAGCAUUGCGCAACAUCUCAGACAGGCUCAGAAGAGUGGUUCAGAAGUGAAGACACUGCUGGAGAAAGGUUGCAACUCCUUGUCUGGAACCCAACGUUCUCUGUGUGAAAACUUCGUUCAAUCUUACAAAAAAGAGCUUAGCAAAUUGCUUCAAAAGUCCCAGGAGGAAAAGGACAUUUGUCGGGAACUGGACCUCUGUGUAAGGAAACAGACUGAACGACUGCUUGGAGAGAAUGAAUGUACUUGGGGACCAGCACAGUGGUGUAAGGACCGAAAAACAGCUGACAAGUGUCAUGCUGUUGAUUACUGUAAGAAACACCGCUGGAAACAGGGCUAAUUUCAUAUCACUGGUGGAAGGCAACAGAAAUUGAAUACUUAAAAAAAUGCAAAGGCUCUUCCUUUAGUACCAGUUAAAUGAUGAUUCUGCUUGUGUGUUUGCAUGUUUCCUUUAAGCAAUUUUGUGUUGCUGUAGCUUGUGCAUUCAAUGCAAUCUCUUUUAUUGUGAGAUGUUACAGAGACGAGAUUAUUGGUAAUCCUUUACUUCCAUCGAAUCAACAUUGCCAGAUGCUAUAUACGCAGAGUUUCAAUGACAAAUAUUGAUUGGGGUUUUGAUUUCAUCAACUGUAAAAAUUCAGCAGACUAAAGUGCUUUAAAAUCAUGUUCUGUUUCUUAAAUAAGCUUUUAGAGUUGUGGUUCAUUCUCGUACCCUUCAAUAUCUGGCUGCUGAACCUGCCUCAAGUAGUCAGUCAUACAAGGCUCAACACUUCCCUGCUGUAGAAGGCAUCAUAAACAAAUCAACUUGAGAACACAGCCUUUCCUACCCAAACAAAACAUGACACCACAGCAGAUAUAUCAACACAGCCCUGUGGUCAGCCCUUCCAUCAUUUGAGGUUCCUAUAUGCAAACAUUUUCCUCAAAGUGGAGUCCAGUGACCCAGAGGGACAAAAUUGGUACUCUGGAAGAUCACAAUGGUAAUCCAUGUGUGGAGCCAAAACAGAUGGAGGAGAUCUUAAAUGCAUUUUUUGCAUCUGUACUUACUCAGGGGAUGAAUACAGAGGCAAAGCAACAUCAACUUUAUGGACCCUGUACAGAUUACAGAGGAGGAGGUGUUUGCUACCCUGAGGCAAAUCAGGGUAGAUAAAUCCCCAGGGCCUGACAAGAUGCUCCUUCAGACCCUACGGGAGGCAAUUGCGGAAAUUGCCAGAGCCCUUGCAGAGAUAUUUUAAAAAGGGAACAUGAGGAGAAACUUCUUCACUCAGAGGGUUGUGCGAGUGUGGAAUGAGCUGCCAGCACAAGUGGUGCAUGCAAGCUCAGUUUCAAUGUUUAAGUGAAGUUUGGAUGGGUACAUGGAUAGUAGGGCUAUGGAGGGCUUUGGUCCCGGUACAGGAUGGAAGUAGGCAGUUUAAGUGGUUUCAGCAUGAACUAGUUGGGCCAAAGGGCCUGUUUCUGUUCUGUACUUCUCGAUGAUUUGAUGUCAAAACACAAUGCCAUAGCAAAAUGUCAACACA